CUUCCAGUUGACUUGCGCAAUUGAGAAGUCACCUCCUUUUGCCACUGGACCUGCCCCUGAAUCCAGCCCUGCCUGCCUAUUUGGCUGUUGCCCACAUGGGGGUGGGAGCAAGGGGCAGUGGAAACAUAGUUAGCCUUUGAAGGGGUGGGGUCACCCCCCAGGCUGGCAGUUGGUGAAGAAGGAAGGAAGAAAAUGGAGAUCUUUUAGGGUGUGACACAGGGUUAGUGGAGGUAGAGAAGAACCUCCCCUCCCCUUGUAACCCCUAGUCCCAAACAGGGGAGGGAAAAAGAGAUGGGAUUGGUUUAAGCAUUCUACUCAGAGGAGGGAUUAACCACAGAAGGGUGGAAAAGUGCAGUGGGGAGAGGAAAGGGAGCAACUCUGCUGGGGAUGGCACAGUGCUUGUGUUUCUGUGUGCUGUCUUUGUUAUGGGUACCAUAGCUUCACCAUCAUGACCUUAGGUAAAUCACUUAAUCCCCUAUGCCUAGCCUUUAUAGCACUUCUGCCUUGGAACCAAUACUUAGUAGAAAUUCUAAGACAGAAAAUAAGGGAUUAAAGAAAAGAUAAUAUGGAGAAAAUUGAUAGGACGUGACAACUGGUUGAAUGUGGGGAGGGAAUAAGAGGAAGAGUCAAAGAGUGCUGAGGUUUCAAAUUUGGAUGAUUUCAAAAAAUGGGUAAUAAUUAUGUCAGACUUUAUUAUAUGUUUAUGAUUGAGGUGGCUGUUUCUGGGGCUACAUCUAUAUGAUAAUGUACAAGUAUUCUCUCUUUAUCCCUUCUUUUGCUUCUCUAUUCAAUUUGUAUUGCAGUCUCUUAGGUGGUAUUCCUUCCCUGACCUCAAUCCUGACAGGAGUAAUCGACUUGAUCCGACCACAUCAUUUUGAUAUUUUGCAAACACCCAUCUGUUGAUGAUUAAUGAGUUAAACAAGAUGAACUCUGAGGGUCCUGAUGGCAAGAACAGUCUAUGAAUUAAGGAGCUCCACUACUACUUCUGACCAAAAAACUCCUAUUAAUAAAUUAGAAUAAGACAAAUCA
rnacentral:lncRNA from 1 species